UCAGGACGAACGCUGGCGGCGUGCUUAACACAUGCAAGUCGAGCGGAAAGGCCCUUCGGGGUACUCGAGCGGCGAACGGGUGAGUAACACGUGAGUAACCUGCCCCCGACUCUGGGAUAAGCCCGGGAAACUGGGUCUAAUACCGGAUACGACCACUUCUCGCAUGGGAUGGUGGUGGAAAGUUUUUCGGUUGGGGAUGGGCUCGCGGCCUAUCAGCUUGUUGGUGGGGUAGUGGCCUACCAAGGCGACGACGGGUAGCCGGCCUGAGAGGGCGACCGGCCACACUGGGACUGAGACACGGCCCAGACUCCUACGGGAGGCAGCAGUGGGGAAUAUUGCGCAAUGGGCGAAAGCCUGACGCAGCGACGCCGCGUGGGGGAUGACGGCCUUCGGGUUGUAAACCUCUUUCAGCAGGGACGAAGUUGACGUGUACCUGCAGAAGAAGCGCCGGCUAACUACGUGCCAGCAGCCGCGGUAAUACGUAGGGCGCAAGCGUUGUCCGGAAUUAUUGGGCGUAAAGAGCUCGUAGGUGGCUUGUCGCGUCGGGUGUGAAAGCUUGGGGCUUAACUCCAGGUCUGCAUUCGAUACGGGCUGGCUAGAGGUAGGUAGGGGAGAACGGAAUUCCUGGUGUAGCGGUGAAAUGCGCAGAUAUCAGGAGGAACACCGGUGGCGAAGGCGGUUCUCUGGGCCUNCCUGAC
rnacentral:rRNA from 1 species